rnacentral:tRNA from 1 species
AGGGACUUAGGGACUAAAAUUUAAAACCGGUAGCCUUCAACGCUACAAAUAAGGGAAUCAACCCUUAGCCCCUG